rnacentral:tRNA from 1 species
CUGACCUUAGCUCAGUUGGUAGAGUGGUGGACUGUAGUUGGACUAAUCUAAAUUGGAAAUCCUUAGGUCGCUGGUUUGAUUCCGCCAGGUUGGA